rnacentral:tRNA from 1 species
AGUCUUGGGGUGUCAUCACAUUAGACUGCAAAUCUAGAGAAGCAGGAGAAGAUCCUGCCGAGACUU